rnacentral:lncRNA from 1 species
UUGCAAUCAUAAACCUAAAUCUAAGGGCUGUUAUAACUUGAACUUAAAUGAAUGGAUGAGAUGGACAGAUGGUCUUGGUCGUGGCUGUGCUGUUCCUGAUGGAUAAUUGGUCCAUUUGAAUCUGGUCAAGGGAAGGCUGGCUCCUUAUUGGCUAGCUAAAGGCUCCCAUGAAUCUGCCCACUUCUUUUGCUAGAUACAUGGUCUCCUUUUGCUUUUACUUUACAGCAAGAGACUCUCCUUUCCAGCCUGUCACUCGCCAGCCUCUCCUUUGUCUUCUUCUCUUAAGAGUUUCACCAGUGCCCUAUUUUUGCACCAACUCCAAAUGUGCUCAAAUGGUUGACUGGUGAACUUUCGGGAUGUCUCGGUCCGUACGGAUCCGUACGGUCCGUACAACGUCCGUACCAAAUCCGUACAGCCAGUCCCUAAGUUUGCACACUCGCCCAAAUACUCUUCUAAGUCCCUCCUGGACUUGGCCCUAUCUUUGCACCACACUUCCAUCUUCUCUCUAACUCCUCCAAAGCCCUCACAUGAUCAGUCUAAGUCUUUCCUAGACUUAUCUUCACAAGAUAACUUCUUCAGAACACUUCUGAAGCUUGAUUGAACUCUUCUAGACAUCUUCUAGAGCUUGCCCUAUCAUUGUACAAGCUCCAUCUUCUCUUCAGUUCAACACUCCCCCUCAAGCUUGACUUUAGGAGAUCCUAAGCCAAGCUUGGAACUCUGAAGAGUCUCCCUCAUUAAAAACCUUACAAGGAAAACCCAUUGGGACAAAACCUUGCAAGGGAAAAAGAGUAGAGCUCUCCAAAGCCUAGGGAUUGGCCAGUGAGCUCUUGUGCCUUAGAACCAGUGUGGUUGGACACAAGAAGCUCUGGAUCACGGCCUAAUAGGUGCAGCAACUCUUCAGAGCUUUGCGCACACUUCACACUUCAGCUUCACCUCUUCAUUGAACCGGUUUGAAGUCUCCCCCUCUCAACUGACUUCUCAGCCAUCUUAGAGAAGCUAGGACACGACCAGAUCAUCUUCAAAACACCAGUGAGGCUGAUCAACACUUCACACACGGCUUGCCCUCUUCAUAGAACUGGUUUGAAUCUCCCCCUCUCAACAGACUUCACAGCCACCUUAGAGAAGCUAGGAAAUGACCAGGAACACCUUUAGUGAGGCUCAAGCAAUGGUACCUGAUACAUUAUCCCAAAGGUGCAUCAGUACCUAUCAAAAAACAAGAAAAUGAAUAUCCUGCAUCACACUUGAUGCACACAAUCUCACAAUUCAAUCAUAAUCAUUUUAUGUAUCUUUUCAAGCACAAGCAAUGAAUAAGAUGAAUAAAAAGGUUUAAAAGUCUAAGGGAACUUCCCUUGUGUUUUUGUGAGUUUCCUAACUCCGCCAAUGCACCAUCUUCAUGGCAUCACCAACU